rnacentral:rRNA from 1 species
CACGUAGGGCGCAAGCGUUGUCCGGAAUUAUUGGGCGUAAAGAGCUCGUAGGCGGUCUGUUGCGUCCGCUGUGAAAACUCGGGGCUUAACCCCCAGCCUGCAGUGGGUACGGGCAGACUAGAGUGCGGUAGGGGAGAUUGGAAUUCCUGGUGUAGCGGUGGAAUGCGCAGAUAUCAGGAGGAACACCGAUGGCGAAGGCAGAUCUCUGGGCCGUAACUGACGCUGAGGAGCGAAAGCGUGGGGAGCGAACAGG